GGCCAGACUCCUACGGGAGGCAGCAGUGGGGGAUAUUGCACAAUGGGGGGAACCCUGAUGCAGCGACGCCGCGUGGGUGAAGAAGCGCCUCGGCGCGUAAAGCCCUUUCAGCAGGGAAGAAAAUGACGGUACCUGAAGAAGAAGCCCCGGCUAACUACGUGCCAGCAGCCGCGGUAAUACGUAGGGGGCAAGCGUUAUCCGGAUUUACUGGGUGUAAAGGGGGCGCAGACGGCGAUGCAAGCCAGGAGUGAAAGCCCGGGGCCCAACCCCGGGACUGCAUUGGAAACUGUCAGGCUAGAGUGUCGGAGAGGCAAGUGGAAUUCCUAGUGUAGCGGUGAAAUGCGUAGAUAUUAGGAGGAACACCAGUGGCGAAGGCGGCUUGCUGGACGAUGACUGACGUUGAGGCUCGAAAGCGUGGGGAGCAAACAGGAUUAGAUACCCGGGUAU
rnacentral:rRNA from 1 species